CUUUCAUUACUGUGAUUGUCUUUGCAGCGGAAGCCUGAUAAUUCUGCGAUUUAUUUCAUAUGAAACACUUUUAAAAGUACACAAUGCAUUAUAUUUUUCUGCUGGUGAACACCUUUUGUAUUGGACUUUUGCCAUUCAUUAAUGGAUAUGGAUUAAGUUACAACUAUUUUGACGAGAUGGCUCAGACCUACUGUGUAAGUCGCCUGAGCUCUCCAGCGUUUGUGUUUGCUAUUAGGCGAGAUUGUGGAGGAAUUGCACCUACCUGUAACGAUAUCUGCAAAAAUGCAAAAGAUGAUAUGCUGAGUGCUAUAGGAAAUCAAAGGAGAUAUGUUGCCUGUUUUGAUGCAAUCAAUAUUAAAAAAAAACAUGCAGAACUUCAAAUUAACCCUUUUAAUAAUCAACCUGAUGCUGGGAAAAUUAGUAUGAUAACUUACGGGUACGGAAGAGGAGGAUGUGCGUGGAGUCCCAACCAAUGUGGACCGAACUGGUGUUGUUGCAGGGCUUAUAAUUAAUAACUGAUGGCUGGCUAGCAACUGGAUAGAUAACUGCUAUUAAAAAAAACAUUUAAUUAAUUCAGUUUAAUUCAAUUAAAAUAAAAGAUAAA